CGAGCGGUAGAGAGAGCUUGCUUCUCUUGAGAGCGGCGGACGGGUGAGUAAUGCCUAGGAAUCUGCCUGGUAGUGGGGGAUAACGUUCGGAAACGGACGCUAAUACCGCAUACGUCCUACGGGAGAAAGCAGGGGACCUUCGGGCCUUGCGCUAUCAGAUGAGCCUAGGUCGGAUUAGCUAGUUGGUGAGGUAAUGGCUCACCAAGGCGACGAUCCGUAACUGGUCUGAGAGGAUGAUCAGUCACACUGGAACUGAGACACGGUCCAGACUCCUACGGGAGGCAGCAGUGGGGAAUAUUGGACAAUGGGCGAAAGCCUGAUCCAGCCAUGCCGCGUGUGUGAAGAAGGUCUUCGGAUUGUAAAGCACUUUAAGUUGGGAGGAAGGGCAGUUACCUAAUACGUGAUUGCUUUGACGUUACCGACAGAAUAAGCACCGGCUAACUCUGUGCCAGCAGCCGCGGUAAU
rnacentral:rRNA from 1 species